UCUGACGGAGCACGCCGCGUGAGUGAUGAAGGCUUUCGGGUCGUAAAACUCUGUUGUUAGGGAAGAACAAGUGCUAGUUGAAUAAGCUGGCACCUUGACGGUACCUAACCAGAAAGCCACGGCUAACUACGUGCCAGCAGCCGCGGUAAUACGUAGGUGGCAAGCGUUAUCCGGAAUUAUUGGGCGUAAAGCGCGCGCAGGUGGUUUCUUAAGUCUGAUGUGAAAGCCCACGGCUCAACCGUGGAGGGUCAUUGGAAACUGGGAGACUUGAGUGCAGAAGAGGAAAGUGGAAUUCCAUGUGUAGCGGUGAAAUGCGUAGAGAUAUGGAGGAACACCAGUGGCGAAGGCGACUUUCUGGUCUGUAACUGACACUGAGGCGCGAAAGCGUGGGGAGCAAACAGGAUUAGAUACCCUGGUAGUCCACGCCGUAAACGAUGAGUGCUAAGUGUUAGAGGGUUUCCGCCCUUUAGUGCUGAAGUUAACGCAUUAAGCACUCCGCCUGGGGAGUACGGCCGCAAGGCUGAAACUCAAGGUUUUUCCGGGGGAA
rnacentral:rRNA from 1 species